rnacentral:rRNA from 1 species
AGCGAACGCUGGCGGCAGGCCUAACACAUGCAAGUCGAACGAACCCUUCGGGGUUAGUGGCGGACGGGUGAGUAACACGUGGGAACGUGCCUUUAGGUUCGGAAUAACUCAGGGAAACUUGUGCUAAUACCGAAUGUGCCCUUCGGGGGAAAGAUUUAUCGCCUUUAGAGCGGCCCGCGUCUGAUUAGCUAGUUGGCGAGGUAAAGGCUCACCAAGGCUACGAUCAGUAGCUGGUCUGAGAGGAUGACCAGCCACAUUGGGACUGAGACACGGCCCAAACUCCUACGGGAGGCAGCAGUGGGGAAUCUUGCGCAAUGGGCGAAAGCCUGACGCAGCCAUGCCGCGUGAAUGAUGAAGGUCUUAGGAUUGUAAAAUUCUUUCACCGGGGACGAUAAUGACGGUACCCGGAGAAGAAGCCCCGGCUAACUUCGUGCCAGCCGCCGCGGUAAUAC